GAUCAACCUUCUCUUGAGCUGCAGGUAAGAUAUUAUGCCUUUUAAAGUUUUUUUACAAUAACAUGAAGGCAUAGGCAAAACAAAGAUAGUGCAGCAAUGGACUGAAUAGUAUAGAGCUUAGUGUUAGAAAUAUAAAAUUUAUUUAUUAAGUUUCAUCUAUAUUAAAUUUAAAAUUUUCAAUUAAAUGGUUCUUUAACUAAUAUGGUAU
rnacentral:misc_RNA from 1 species